AUCUUGACUGUUUUUCGAUCAAGUGCAUUUUGGGUUUGAAAUUGUUCAUGUGUGAUCGAUCUUGUUAGGUUUAGCUUCCUUUAGUGGGAUUAAUUUUCGAUCAUAUGAGUUUUCUUGUGUGGCUGAUCUUGUGGUCCAUGGCUGUAGCAUUUUGUUGUGUGAUCAUGCAAAUCCCAUUGUGAAAUGCUCCAUUACUUUUUUCUGUAAUGGUCAGCAUUUCUGUAGAGAUUGUAUUGCAAUUGGAUAGGUUCAUUGACUGUGUGUAUGUGCAGGACCUGCCCCGUACCUUCCCUGGUCACCCAUGGUUGGACACCCCAGAAGGACAUGCUGCUCUUCGUCGCGUUCUUGUUGUGUAUUCGUUCCGUGAUUCGGAUGUGGGUUAUUGUCAGGGCUUAAAUUAUGUUGCAGCACUGUUACUGCUUGUGAUGAAAACAGAGGAAGAUGCAUUUUAGAUGCUAGCUGUUCUCCUGGAAAAUGUCUUGGUCAAUGACUGUUAUACAAAUAAUUUAUCAGGAUGCCAUGUCGAACAAAGAGUUUUCAAGGAUUUUCUUGCUAAUAUGUGUCCAAGGGUAGCGGCGCAUUUGGAAGCAGUGUUACCUGGAUCGCGGGUCAUUGCGGAACGGGUACGCGGUACGCCAAUCUCUAUAGAACGCGAAGUCUAGGAACGGACGAAGUCUAGAAACAAGCGCACCAGAGCUGAUGCAGAAGAUGGGACCGCUGAGUAAAUAUGGGAUCGCUGGAGUCACCGAUCUGGUUCGUGAUCAUACUGCGUUUCGGGUCGUGCGACCGGGUUCGCGGGUCGCCGGCAAACUGAGCGAUCCCGGCAUCUCUGUUUGGAAGCACUGGAGUUUGAUGUAUCCCUUGUUGCCAUAGAGUGGUUUCUUUGCCUCUUUUCUAAGAGCUUGCCUUCAGAGGUUAGAGAUACUUUUGACUCUAUCUAUCUUUUUUACUUUGAAACAUAGUGAAAUGAUUUGUGGGUUUUUUCUGUUGCUGACACUUUCAUGGUUUCAUGUGGCUUUGGCAAUCAAGGUACAAGAAAUGGGGCCUUUUUCUUUUGCUGAUGAAGGAACAGGAGUUGCUUCUAACCUAUCAUGUUGGCGAUGUUAUUAAUAUUCUGCAGAAAACCACUCAUCAUCUAUUUGAUCCUGAUGAGCUAUUGACGUUCCAACUUCAAUGGGGACACAAGAGGCAUCCAGAAUUAGAGAAAUUUAUCAUGAAGAUCCAAAGUGAAGCUGGUCUCUUAAGAAACAAGAUGUAUUUCAAGUGGAAUGUGCUGUGAAUGUCCUAUGUACUUUAGGUUCAUUUUUUUUGUAUUUGGUUUUGCUAUAAGCUUCAUUUGUGAUUGCUUCCAC